rnacentral:rRNA from 1 species
GACGAACGCUGGCGGCGUGCUUAACACAUGCAAGUCGAACGAAAAGGCCCUGCUGUUGUGGGGUGCUCGAGUGGCGAUCGUGAGUGUAACACGUGAGUAACCUGCCCUCGACUUUGGGAUACCUUCAGGAAACUGGGGCUAAUACCGGAUAGGUGCUCCUGCCGCAUGGUGGGGGUGGGACAGUUUCGGCGGUGGGGGAUGGACUCGCGGCUUAUCAGGUUGGUGGGGGGGUAGUGGCUUACCCAGGCUUUGCCGGGUACCAGGGCUGAGAGGGUUGCCGGCCACAUCACGUCUGGGCUGCGGCCCAGACUCCUCCGGGACGCAACGGUGCAGUGUAUUGUACAAUGGGCGGAAGCCUGGUGCGGCGCCGCCGCGUGCGGGAUGACGGCCUUCGGGUUGGAAUCCGCUUCCGCCUGUGCCGAGGCGUGAGUGACGGUAAUGGGUAAAGAAGCACCGGCUAACUACGUG